UGGGGAAUAUUGGACAAUGGGCGAAAGCCUGAUCCAGCCAUGCCGCGUGUGUGAAGAAGGUCUUCGGAUUGUAAAGCACUUUAAGUUGGGAGGAAGGGCAGUAAGUUAAUACCUUGCUGUUUUGACGUUACCGACAGAAUAAGCACCGGCUAACUCUGUGCCAGCAGCCGCGGUAAUACAGAGGGUGCAAGCGUUAAUCGGAAUUACUGGGCGUAAAGCGCGCGUAGGUGGUUUGUUAAGUUGGAUGUGAAAGCCCCGGGCUCAACCUGGGAACUGCAUCCAAAACUGGCAAGCUAGAGUACGGUAGAGGGUGGUGGAAUUUCCUGUGUAGCGGUGAAAUGCGUAGAUAUAGGAAGGAACACCAGUGGCGAAGGCGACCACCUGGACUGAUACUGACACUGAGGUGCGAAAGCGUGGGGAGCAAACAGGAUUAGAUACCCAUGUAGUCCCUGAGCGGGCUGGCAAGGCGCAU
rnacentral:rRNA from 1 species